AUCGAAAUACCACUUCACCCUCUCUCAGGUGUUAUAAAUACUGACAGAGAGUAAAUCGGUGGCAGAAGAAGCUAAACUACAAGACCAGUCCCAGCAUCACUGUUACUUUGGUUAACCACGGUUAAAGAUGUGUGACAAAGAACAACAUGAGAAAAGGUGCAAUGAGCAGAAGCAACAGCAAGACAAGGGUCUUUGCCCCGGGGCUGAUCUAACUGAUGCUGGUCUUGGUCAGAAUCUAAACACUGAAGGAGAACAAGGAGGUGGACAUGGAGGCAGAGGAGGUAAAAAUGAGCGUGGAGGAGCGCGAAAUGAAGGAGAAAGAGGGUCAUGUGAGAGAGGAAGAGGAAGAGGAAGAGGAGGAGAGUAAACUGGAUAUCUGAGGAGAACUAUAUCUCUUUACUAGUUCUUAAUCUAUUCUCAUCUAUUGUCAAGAUAAGUUCAAUGAAAGUGACAGUACAUAUAAAUUAAAGGGUAAAAUGGAAAAAGUUAAAUUAAAAGUAAUUCUUUUUUGGGAUUAUUUUAUUCUGUCUGCCUAUUUUUCUGUCUGUAACUUCAUGAUACUAGUUCUGGGCCAUUGUUAAGAUAUCCAUUUGGAUUUUCUUUUUUUCUUCUGUGCUUUUCACAAAGCUUCUUGAGAAGUGCAACCAAAUUUAUAUUUUGAAUUGAAUUCUCUGCAAAUAAAAAAAGAUGAUAAGAAAAAAA